CUCUUCUUGAAUAAGUAGGAAGUAUAACCUGCCCAAUGAUAUUUUUAAUGGCCGCGGUAUACUGACCGUGCAAAGGUAGCAUAAUCAUUAGUCUUUUAAUUGAAGGCUGGAAUGAAUGGUUGGACGAAACAAUAACUGUCUUUAUUUAAUUAAAGUUGAAUUUAAUUUUUGGGUAAAAAAGCUUAAAUAAUUUUUUGGGACGAGAAGACCCUAUAGAGUUUAUAUAAGAAUUUUGGUGUAAUUAGUGUGUGAUUUAUUGCACUAUAGAAUUAUUUAAUUGGGGUGAUUGGAAGAUAAUAGUAACUCUUUUUAUUGUUUAUUA
rnacentral:rRNA from 1 species